GAACUGCGAUAAGUAAUGUGAAUUGCAGAAUUCAGUGAAUCAUCGAGUCUUUGAACGCACAUUGCGCCCCCUGGCAUUCCGGGGGGCAUGCCUGUCCGAGCGUCAUUGCUGCCCUUCAAGCCCGGCUUGUGUGUUGGGUCGUCGUCCCCUCCGGGGGACGGACCCGAAAGGCAGCGGCGGCACCGCGUCCGGUCCUCGAGCGUAUGGGGCUUUGUCACCCGCUCGAUAAGGACCGGCCGGGCGCCAGCCGGCGUCUCCAACCUUUUUUUCUCAGGUUGACCUCGGAUCAGGUAGGGAUACCCGCUGAACUUAAGC
rnacentral:misc_RNA from 1 species